AUUGAACGCUGGCGGCGUGCUUAACACAUGCAAGUCGAUCGGUAACGCGGGGGCAACCCUGGCGACGAGAGGCGGACGGGUGAGGAACGCUUGGGAAUCUGCCUAUCAGCGGGGGACAACACGGGGAAACUCGUGCUAAUACCGCAUACGCUCUACGGAGGAAAGCCGGGGACCGCAAGGCCUGGCACUGAUAGAUGAGCCCAAGCCGGAUUAGCUAGUUGGCGGGGUAACGGCCCACCAAGGCGACGAUCCGUAGCUGGUCUGAGAGGACGAUCAGCCACACUGGAACUGAGACACGGUCCAGACUCCUACGGGAGGCAGCAGUGGGGAAUAUUGGACAAUGGGGGAAACCCUGAUCCAGCGACGCCGCGUGGGUGAAGAAGGCCUGCGGGUUGUAAAGCCCUUUCGGUAGGGACGAAAGCUCUCGACCUAACACGUCGGGAGGUUGACUUAACCUACAGAAGAAGCACCGGCUAACUCUGUGCCAGCCGCCGCCGUAACAC
rnacentral:rRNA from 1 species